rnacentral:rRNA from 1 species
UCCUGGGGUCAAGCAGCCCCUCAAUGGCGGUUUAUGCGCGCCCUUUUCUGGAACAUUCGCGGCUUCGGCCAUGACGGCCGCCGCGGCCAGCUAGUUGAGUACAUCCGGGACGAGCACAUCGACAUCAACGCCAUCCAAGAAACCAUGCGCACGGAUUUCUGUCUCCCCAAGCUUGACAGCCUUAGCUCCCACCUGUUCGCCUGGCAUUGGCUCCCUUCUAGUGGGAACAAUGGCCACUCGGGUGGCAUCCUCUUCGGUGUUAAGGAUUCCACCUUUGAGGUGGGA